CGGCGAUUUUCAUCUAGGGCUGAAAGACAAACAUGUUUGGUUGUCACUCGCGCUUGGUCGUUUUUUCAGUGAUUGGACUUUUUAGUGCCCUGGAUAUGUCCGCAGAAGUCCUGAAAAAGAGAAGCUGGAGAGAAGCUGCUCAGUACUGCACCCUGCUGGGAUCCAACAACACGGGGACAGUUUUGAUAGAGAAAAUCAACAUUUCCAGUGAGGUCAAAGACGCUCUGUACUGGAUCGGGGCCAUUGUCGAUGACACACUCUGGUUCCAGGUUUUGGGUUCUGCGCAAGUAACAGGACAGGGAGAAAUAGUGGAUCAGCCCUACGUAUUAUCGUGUCAUCUUUACUGUAACAGUAAUGGACAGAAAGCAACAUAUUAUGCAUUAAUGGAUAAAAGGUGUUACUGUCAACAAUCGCCGUUUUCGCCGGCCUCAGGACCGAGUGCCUUUCAGUAUCUGCGAGUGAGCCUGCCUCCAUAAAAAAUAAACGCCCAUGAUAAUUCAGGGUUUGUUUUAGGUAGUAUCCAAGGAGACUGCGUGGCCUUUACCAGGACUGUGUCGGCAAACUAUCACCAACUGUUGCUGUGUAGCACGCUGCUCCCUCCAAUAUGUGAAAGUGGUGAAAUGAGUAUACCUAAUAAGAGUUGGACUGAAGCAGUGACGUCAUGUAUCAUACCUGCAGCCAGAUUUAGUGAUUUAUCAGCCUACAAUGUCGCCAAUGGAACCACUGGAUGGACGGGGAUCACACGGCAGAACUAUGGGAGAAUCUGGGCAACGGACUCGAGGGAAGGUACCAGUCUGUUUGGCUGUAUAGCUGUAAACGUUUCUUCUGGUACCGCCACAUCUCUACACGAGUUUUCUUGCGAUACAAACCUAACGUCAUUGUGUGAACCCGGUAUUUAUAAAUACUUCUAUUAAACAUUUAUUAAUGGAAUCAUAUUCCAGUAGCCUUGCCAUCAAAAUCAUUUUAACACGAACGAUGUUUGUAGACUUGUAGAUUUUUUUUGUCGGGUAUUGGAACUAAAAUUUCGCUAAAAUAAGGAGUAAAGUUUAGUCUGUAAAUUUUUAUUUGAAAAACGAUUAGACAAUUGUAGUGACUGUAAAAUUUGUUCUUAGUUAAAAGUUGGUUAUUUUACAGGAUAUGAAAUAUAUACAUGUAGUUCAGGUAGAACCCGAGGUAUUCAGACAUGUCGAUUGCUCUUGGUGGUUUUUGAUUUGUCUGUUGCACAAUGAAAGAGAAAUUAUUUUCGUGCUCGGACGGAUUUUAAUUGUUUACCUGUUUCUUUACUUUUGGCGUUCUUUAAGUUCUAAAAUAAAGGUUACAGGCUGCUGUUAAUUCAGUGUUAAUAACCUUUUCAAUAUUUUGAUUUAUAUCCAUGAAUGAACAAAAAAGUAUAAAAACAUGUUGUGCAGUGGUUCCUAUAUGUUUGAAAGAAACUCCAAAUGAAGCAACAGAAAACAGUGGUUCGUAUGAGUUAUACAUUUAAUAGCAGUCUUUAAUAAUAGAAGUCAACACCUCAAUAUUUGUUCACUGUCAUUUUUGACAGAAGAGAGUAUAUGACUUUUUAUAUUUACUUUUACAUAUACAUUUAUAAAUGGUUUGAAAACACAUACAUGUAUUAAAUUCUAUGAAGCCUCGUAUCCGUGUAUCCAAUCUAUUAUAUAAACGUAUCAAAUGAUAUUCUGAACAACAUCCGCAA